rnacentral:lncRNA from 1 species
GGCUACACUGUGGCAUAUGGAGGUUUCCAGGCUAGGGGUCUAAUCGAGCUGUAGCCGCCGGCCUGCACCACAGCCACAGCAACACCGUAUCCAAGCUGCGUCUGCAACCUACACCACAGCUCAUGGCAACUGAACAAGGCCAGGGAUCGAAUCCACAACCUUGUGGUUCCUAGUCAGAUUAGUUUCCGCUGUGCCAUGAUGGGAACAAUAAAGUUUGGAGAAAUAUUGAAUUAAUAAUUAGGAUGGGUUAUGUAAACUAGGUAAUACUGCUCACGAUGACAGUCUACACUGAAAAGUUUUGAAGACUCAUAGCAAUUUGCAUUUGUACCGCUGGUUAAAGUCUCAAGGUGUUUAGUUAUUUUCAUCAUUUAUUUAUUUAUGAAGAGAAAACAUUCUGCCCAACUUACUUCAUGCUUGCGUAUUAUCACCUAUGUUAUGUCCGUUUAACUUUUAGAAAUUGAUUUCAUUUUGAUUUUUAAAAAAACAACGUGUUUAUUGUAGAAAAUAUGGGGAUUGCAUAAAGUAUAUUUACUUUCACCUUUCAGAGGCAACUGUUGUUUAUAUUUAAUGGAAAAGUAUCAGGUUUAGUGUAAUGUGAUACAUUCAUGGAGGCAUCAUAAAAUGUUUGCCCUUGAUGAUGGUGCUGCAGACUGACAUGGGGAAACUGAAUUCAUUAGCAGUUUCGCAAGUGGUUUUCUUCCCAGCUUCUCUGUAUUCUCGCCUAUUUUAUUCUCGUACCGACACAGUUGUAUUCAUUUGUUGAGGUAUUUAAAACAUCUGGAAUGGGGGGGUUGCUAUAAGGUAGGCAAUUAAUUUUUUGUCAAAUGAAUGGCAUUUCUUCAUUUUUCAGAACUUUCAUGUCCUUUGGUAAAAUCUUGUAGCUUUCUUCUUAUAAACGGCACAUUUCUUUUUAGAUUUAUUCCUAUUUAUUCCACAUCUUUUUGUUGCUAUCUCUCGACACAUCUUAUUUUUUUUCCCCAGUCAAAUUUGAAAUUGAUUUUUUCUGUGUGUAGGAGAGUGAUUAAUGUUGACUUUGGUUCUGGCCACAUUUCUGCAUGUUUUUAUUCAUUCUUAAUAAAGCUUUUUAGUUGAUUUUAUCUGUCUUUAUUGGUAGGCAUAAACAAAAUCUUGUACUUCUUGUUUUUUCUUUUAUUUCUCCUUUGAUUAAAACCUUGACUUUUUCCUCUCGACUCACAUGGGAACCCUUCUGCUGUUGACUAUUGAUUGAGUGUAAUAUUUGUUUUAGGCUCCUCCUAUGUCCUUCUUUCCUCUUAUUUGGUUAAGAGGCUCUUUGGGAUUUGUUGUCUGUUUUUUGGUUGUUAAAUGUUUAUCUUAAAGUGGAGGGGAGGUUAGAUUUUAAGUACUUUUAAGUAUUUUCAACCUUUGUUACUAGGAGAUCAAUCAAGAUAGCAAUAGGUGUGUGUGGCAUUUAUCUGCUGGUAUGGCAGAUAAAUAUCUUUAAAUUUACUCAUUUUGCUUCCCCGUGGUUAAGUCCUAUUUGGUCAUGAAGGGAUACUUUUAUUUUUUUUGUUUUUGUCUUUUUGUUUUAGGGCCAUACCCGUGGCAUAUGGAGGUUCCCAGGCCAGGUCAAGUUGGAGCUGUCGCCGCUGGCCUACGCCACAGCCGCAGCCAGAUCCGAGCUGCAUCUGUGACCUACACCAGAGCUCACAGCAACAAUGGAUGCUUAACCCACUGAGCAAGGGCAGGUAUCAAACCCAUGUCCUCAUGGAUACUAGUCAGAUUCGUUUCCAUUGAGCCACGACAGAAACUCCAGGGAUAGUUUUAAAUAUGUAGUGGAUUUGUCAAGAUUUUAUUUGGUGGCUUUGCAUCUUUAUUUAAAAAUGUGAAUUUGUAGGUUUUAUUUUCUGGCAUAUUUGUUAAUUUUUGAUAGCAGAGAUAGACUAGCUUUGUAUCUCCAUUACUCAUACAUCUAAAGCUCUAUGCUGUACCCUUGAUUGCUUUUACAUUCUCCCUAAAUAGUACCUCUUCUCACCAUUCCAGUCACAUGCCUGCCUGUACCACCUCACCACUAGCAUCCUACCAGAGGGCCUGCCAUAGGCAGCACUACUCGAUAUUUCAGGUGUUUUCAGAAGCAGCAAGGAGGCAAGGGGAAGAAAGAUGGUGGAGGUAGAGGAGAAAGAAUAUUAUCAAAAUUUAUGGAUAAAACCAUUUGUUUUCCAUAAUUGAUGUAACACAUAUAACUGAAUACAUUUGUGUUUAUGGACUCUAUCAUUAUAUAUCUUAGCUUUUGUCUUUUGACAUAUUAACUGUGUAAUUUCUUUUUAGUAAAUUAUCUUUUGUUUACAAAUAUGUAAAUGUGUAUAUGUUUAUGUUUUUAAUACCCACAGCCCUUUUCCCGUUAAAUCGCAUUCAAACUUAUUACCAUUACAGUUUUAUGUUGGAGAAUAGAUUUAAAACUUUUUAAAGAAGAGUUACAUUCUUAUUUUCUGUGUUCUAAGUAGGCUGCUGAAAUUUACAGCUGAUGCAACAGUCUUAAAAUCCAAAAGGUUUUUGCGUUGAAGGAGCUGAACUGUGUUUGAUAGAAAAGGUUUUGAGUUUUCAAAGUAAAGCUCUGAAGAUGCCAGUGCAUAGAUGUAUUUAUUUUUGAAAAUUUAAACAGUACAUUGGAAUUAAAAUUAGCUAGAAAAAUGAGACAAUCUCAUCAUAAUGUUGUAUAAGCACUCUCUUAGGCUAGGGGGAGAUUUGUGAUAGAAGAAAGACGCAGUAGACCUGGUGGUCCUGCGCCUUCCCUUUCUUUCCUUUUCAGGCUGAGGCGUGGAAGAAAUGGCGAGAGAAACUCCCAUCAGGUGAAGCUUGAGCAGAUUUAAGCGUCACUCGGUAGGUGAAAGCUAGGGAGAUGGGAGGACUUAUAUAAACGCAUACAAGGUCCUGUAUGACUGUCGUGUGGUGGCAGAGCAUUGGAAUGGCUGGAGCCCCUGCCCCUUCUGGAACUUGACGAGGCGACCAUCGCAUGGGUGUGUCCUACACUAAAGUGACAUGGGGUCAAGUAGGGUAGAGAGGCUUAUGAGAGGAACCUGGAGCCAGAGAAGAUGAACUAUUAAUCCCUGUUUCCCUUUGCAUCCCAGGAGGCAGCUAGGACUUUUUGUAUUCUGGGCCAGAGCAGUUGGUUGAGAGACCAGUGCUGGCAGUUAGGAUGGUGGGGAUGUGAGAAUGGCAGCAUGUAAACGAUUGCAUUUGGAGUGGAUAAGCAAUGAGGUCCUGCUGUAUGGCACAGGGAACUAUAUCCAGUCACUUGUGAUGGAGCAUGACAGAAGAUAAUAUGGGAAAAAGAAAAAAUAUAUAUAAUGUAUGUACAACUGGGUUACUCUGCUGUACAGCAGAAAUUGACAGAAUGUUGUAAAUCAACGAUAAUAAAAAUGUUUUUAAAAAAGCAAAAAAAAAAAAAAAAA